rnacentral:rRNA from 1 species
CCUACGGGAGGCAGCAGUGGGGAAUAUUGGGCAAUGGGCGCAAGCCUGACCCAGCAACGCCGCGUGAAGGAAGAAGGCUUUCGGGUUGUAAACUUCUUUUGUCAGGGAAGAGUAGAAGACGGUACCUGACGAAUAAGCCACGGCUAACGACGUGCCAGCAGCCGCGGUAAUACGUAGGUGGCAAGCGUUGUCCGGAUUUACUGGGUGUAAAGGGCGUGUAGCCGGGUUGACAAGUCAGAUGGGAAAUCCUGCGGCUUAACCGCAGAACUGCAUUUGAAACUGUUGCUCUUGAGUACUGGAGAGGCAGCCGGACUUCCUAGUGUAGCGGUGAAAUGCGUAGAUAUUAGGAGGAACACCAGUGGCGCAGGCGGUCUGCUGGACAGCAACUGACGGUGAGGCGCGAACGCGUGGGGAGCAAACAGGAUUAGAUACCCUAGUAGUC